rnacentral:rRNA from 1 species
UGCUAUCGGAGUUCGAUUAAGCCAUGCGAGUCGAGAGGUGCAAGACCUCGGCAUACUGCUCAGUAACACGUGGACAACCUACCCUAUGGAGGGGGAUAACCCCGGGAAACUGGGGAUAAUACCCCAUAGACUAUGGAUGCUGGAAUGCCCCGUAGUCGAAAGGUCUGCCGCCAUAGGAUGGGUCUGCGGCCGAUUAGGUUGUUGUUGGGGUAACGGCCCAACAAGCCUGUAAUCGGUACGGGUUGUGGGAGCAAGAGCCCGGAGAUGGAUUCUGAGACACGAAUCCAGGCCCUACGGGGCGCAGCAGGCGCGAAAACUUUACAAUGCGGGAAACCGUGAUAAGGGAACUCCGAGUGCCCGUAAAAUCGGGCUGUCCAUCAGUUUAAAUAACUGGUGAAGAAAGGGCCGGGCAAGACCGGUGCCAGCCGCCGCGGUAAUACCGGCGGCUCGAGUGGUGGCCACUAUUACUGGGCUUAAAGCGUUCGUAGCUGGUUUGUUAAG